GGUGUGAGCAGUCUGUUAUCCCCAGAACGCCCAGGGUGUUUUCAGGGAGAAGGGGGCAAUGGGUAGGGCCAGCAUUCAGUGCCUGAUCGUUGGGCUCUCAACAGAAGCAGAGACCUGCAGGAAGGUGGCACAGGUUACUCUUAUUUGCAGGGCCCUGGGCAGUGAUAAUGAGCUCUAGAAGGAUCUGCAAGGUGACCAGAGAAUUUGGCUAUAGCUACAGCAGGGCAUGUGAAUUCCCAGGGGGCUGAGAGCAAUAAAGGCUUGCGUUUGAUUUCAAUGCCCUCCUUUGAGGUGGUUGGCACCACAGGUGGUGCCUGUUCAGGAACCCCUAGCAGGCAUGGGUCAUGAUCAUCUCUAGCUUCUGUGAUAACUGUAGUGGUUUGCCUCUGCCACCUGUAGACCAUGUAUGAGGUGAUCCCUCUUACUUAGCCCACAUAGGAGGUGCUACAUAGGUUGUUCCUAGUUGUAGGAUCCUGGGAAGUGACAGAGAUCUGGCAUAUGGGUCCUUCCCUGAACAUUCAGCAGUGGCAGCAGCAGGGCUGGUGUAUUUGCAAGGGUGCAGGAGCACCAAUAGUUGAUUCGGUCACAAUGCCUUCCUCUGUGAUGCCCUUGAGGUGAGUGGGGCUGCAAGUGGUGCCUAUUCACCCACCCCUCUGGAGCUAGCCAUAGCUGUGGUGGCUUGCCCCUGCCAACUGUAAAUCAUGCAAGAAGCACCUGGUCCUGCUUAGCCCCACAGGAUGUGUUAAACAAGGCGCUCUUAUUUGCAGGUUCCUAAGAAGGGACAGUGAUCAAGCAUCUGGGCCCCUCCCAGAACGUUUGGGAGUGGCAGCUGCAGUGCCUGUGUGCUCCCAGGGGAGCAAGAGCAACAUCAGGUGGAGUUCCAUUGUAGUGACCUUUGUGAUGCCUUCUGAAGUGGUUGGGGCUGCAAGUGGUUUUUCAGCUAUCCCUAGCUGUGGUAGGCCACACCCACUUCCAGAGUCAGGGAUAAUUGUGGCUUGCUCCCGCCACCUGCAGGCUUCCCACUGCUGGAGACACCAGGUCUACAGUGGGUUAGCAAGCAACUUCUGGUCAUGAGGGGCUGCGCCCAAGAGGCACAAUCUAGGAUGGGUAGCAUGGCUUCUUGUGGGGAGAGGCAGCAUGGAAUGAUGUGGAUUGGCACACAGCUUCCUAUGGGUCGGGCUGGGCCCAGCGCACUGCAAAGCAGCGCACAGCUUCUCGUGGGGUGGGGUGAGGUGGUCAGGAGGUAUGUAGUGCAGCACAAGGCUUCCCCAGGUGGGAGCUGGCCCAGAGCACGUCCUGAGUGCUGCAAAGUGGUGCACGACUUCCUGUGGGACCAGCUGGGGUGGGGAGAGGUGGCCCUGAGUGACGCAGAGAGGCGCAGGGCUUUCCCUAGGUCGGAGCAGGUCUGAGCGCUACAAAGCUGUGCAUGCAGCUUCUGGCAGGUUGGGCAGGGCCCAGGAGUGCUAAAACUUGGCUCCCGGCUUCGCAGGGUGGGGUGAGGCGGCCAGUAGCAUCUUAGUACGGCACAGGGCUUUUCCCCAGAGCACUGCAAAGUGGCACUGGCCUCUCGCAGGUCACAGGUCGGGGAGCAGCCUGCUUCCUGCUGGUGGGGUGCUGCGCCAGGAAGGCUCAGCUCUCUGCGAUGGGGGAGGGGGGGAAAUUGCACGCAGGUUGGGGCACAAGGAGUUUUCUAUGGUGGUGGCCCACCCCUUCUCCUCUCCCCUCCCCAACAAUGGCGCCUUAUCUCUCCUGUGGCCCUGGACCUUCUCCUGGGUUCCCUCUGCUGUGGCUUUCUAUGCCCCAGCCCUUAUUGUACCACUUUCCCUGCCUGUGGCACACUGCUCCCUAGACUCUUAUGUUGUCUCCACACCGCCAACCCCAGCCCACUCCCAGGGACUGACAUCAGGAGUAUAAAUCUCAGCCCCCAGCCCCCACCUGCCACUCAGGCUUCUCAAGCUGUGGUGUCUGCACCAGUGGUUCAGAUGAUCUGUGCUUCUGCUGCUGCACUCUUCUCGGAAUCUUGGAGAUCCCUCCAACUCUGCUGCUCUUUCCAAUGGUUAGGUGGCUUCUCAGGGUGUGGGCUGCCUUUCUCCUUCACAGCUCCCUCUCGGGAAUGUUUGUCCUGUCCUGAUUCCUUUUCCCUCCCUUUGUUUUUUCUUUUGUUCUACCCAGUUAUGUCAAGAGUUUCUUGCGCUUUUUGGAGGUUUAAGUUCUUCUGCCAGCAUUAAGUUGAUGUUCCGUGUGAGUUGUUUUACAUGUACAUGUGUUUUUUUGAUGUGUUUGUGGGAGAGGGUGAGCGUGUCCUCUUACUCUUCUGCCAUCUUGCCACCUCCUCUCCAUAUUCUUAUUUAAAAUGGAUUCAUAUUCUUAUUUUAAAAUGUUUUUGAUAUUCCAUUCCAUUUUAAAUACAUGCAUAUUCUGCAGUAUUUACAAUGCAUUGCCAAUGACACCAUCCAACUAUUAAGCACGUUUUAAGAUUAUGACAGAGUAAAUAAUAUUUAGCUAACAGAUCAUAAACCUCCAGUAUUUCUUACAAAGAUCACCUUCAGAAAGAAACUUAAAGGCUACAUAAUCUGUCAGUAGGUUCUAUGGCCUUGUUGUGGCAACUGGUAGCCCUGGCUCUGUGGAACUCUCUCUGUGUUCUCUCAGACUGCAGUCUCUCUUGGUUUUCCUAUCUGUCUACACUUCACCUUCCUUAGCAGGCACCUUCUUAUACAUUACCUUUGAUGCUCUUCCUUUCAAUACAUCUCUUUCCAGAGAGCCUUCUUAAUUAUUUCAACACUAUCUAGGGGUAAACUAUUCUCAGACUUCCAUCUUGAUUUCUAGAACUACAUAUCAAACUAUCCCCUUAAUAUCUCCACCUCAUUUUGUCUUUAUCAAUUAUUAUCACCAAAUAUGUUAAGCUAGAAAUAUAGGUCUUUCUGAAUUUUUCUUUCAUUCGUCUCUUAUAGUCAAUGAACCACCAAGCCCUGUUGAUUCUGCUUCCUAGCCCUCGAUACCCUUCCUCUAUCGCUUUCUCAUCUUAGUUCAAGCCAGUUAUCUCACACUUCCUUCAGUUCCCUACAGAUGAUGCAUUAUGGCCAAACAGACUUUCUACAGUGUAAAUCAGAACCUCUCCUUUCCUUUUUAAGGUUCUUCAAUGGUUCACCAUUGAUUAGAGAGUAACAUCCCAAUCUUUGAGCAUGGCAGUUAAAAGACCGUCGUGAUUCCCCUCCGAGGGACUCCCCACCACCCCCUUCCCCUCUCCUUGCACACAUGAAGUCACCCCAUGAACUGAUUUCAAUUCCAGGAGUAAGUCAUCAUCUUCUAUUCCUCCAUGCCUUUGCAAAAACUGUUUGGGUUUGUGGUGGUAAACUGAACUAGUCAACUCUGCUCAUGCUCUCAGUCACAAAAUGAUCACUUUUAGAAAUAAGGAACUUACUCUUUCCCAAAUUAGUCCAUCAACAUCAUUUUGAGCUGACACCAAGAGAGUUAUUUCUUUGCCUUUA
ensembl:lncRNA